GAUGAACGCUGGCGGCAGGCCUAACACAUGCAAGUCGAGGGAAAGGUUACCUUCGGGUAACCACAACCGGCGGCCGGGUGCGUAACGCGUAUACAAUCUGCCUCUCCCAUAGGGAUAGCCCGAAGAACUUUGGAUUAAUACCUAAUGGUAUAUAUAAGCGGCAUCGUUUUUAUAUUAAAUCUACGGUAGCGAAAGCUGAGUAUGCGUUCGAUUAGCUAGUUGGUGAGGUAACGGCUACCCAAGGCGACUAUAGAUAGGGGUUCGGAGAGGGGUGUCCCCCACACUGGUACUGAGAUACGGACCAGACUCGUACGGGAGGCAGCAGUGAGGAAUAUUGGAGAAUGGUAGGAAGACGGAUCCAGCCAUGCCGCGUGCAGGAUGAAGGGCCUAGGGAUUGUAAGCUGCUUUUGUAAGAGAAGAAUAAGAGCUACGUGUAGCUUGAUGACGGUACCUUACGAAUAAGCAUCGGCUAACUCCGUG
rnacentral:rRNA from 1 species